rnacentral:rRNA from 1 species
UACGAAGGGUGCAAACGUUGCUCGGAAUUAUUGGGCGUAAAGCGCCACGUAGGCGGCUUAGCAAGUCCCCAUGUGAAAGCCCCACGGCUUAACCGUGGAAGUGCAUGGGAAACUGCUGAGCUUGAGUACUUAAGAGGAUCGCGGGAAUUCCCGGUGUAGAGGUGAAAUUCGUAGAUAUCGGGGAGGAACACCAGUGGCGAAGGCGGCGAUCUGGGAAGAUACUGACGCUGAGGUGCGAAAGCGUUGGGGAGCAAACAGG